AUGAAUCUUUCAAAAAUCAAGAAUAAAGUAUUUGAUCUGUACAAAGUUAGAUUGUGCCCCACUGACUCAAAAUGUCCGCUUCUGCCAUUGCCUAAGGUCCAACAAAUUAAAUCUUCUACAAUUAUUCCGUCUUUAUCCAUUCAACUGCAUCACUAAUUUUAGAUUGUGAUUCUACUGCUGCAGGUUUAUUUUCAUGCUAUUCCAGAUGACAUCAUUGAUAGUCUGGUAAACUUCCUAUAGACCAAAGUUGGAAAUAGUUGUCAUCUCCAUCCAUAUCCCUCGUUUAAUUGUAUGAGAUAUGCAUAGCUUGAGGAGGGAAUAAUACUCAAUGUUGCUGGGGGUUUGAUGCUAGAACAUCCACUGACUUUACCCUUGGUAGACACAGUGAUUGGAACCUGCGAUUGUGUAAUGGGACUUUC